GUUCUGGUCGGUAACCAGAACACUUGCGAAGGAG
rnacentral:ncRNA from 1 species